rnacentral:rRNA from 1 species
UAAUAAUUUUUUAUUUUUUAUUAGAUUGUAAAAUAUAAAAUAAUUAAAACCAUUUUUUAAAUACUAGAAGAGAAUAAUGGCAUAAACUUGCUUGACUGUAAGAUUGACAAAUCUAGCAGGGACAUUAAAAGUCGGUCAUAGCGAUCCGUAUGGUACUACGUGGAAAGGCCAUCGCCAACGGAUAAAACGGUACGCCAGGGAUAACAGGCUAAUAACUCCUGAGAGUCCUUAUCGACGGGGUUGUCUGGCACCUCGAUGUCGGCUCAUCGCAUCCUGGUGCUGAAGAAGGUUCCAAGGGUUCGGCUGUUCGCCGAAUAAAGCGGUACGUGAGCUGGGUUUAAAACGUCGUGAGACAGUUUGGUCCCUAUCUACCGUAAAUGUAUAAGAAUUACUAAAGAUCUGACCCUAGUACGAGAGGAUCGGGGAAGGCUAAUCUAUGGUUGACUAAUUGUAUAAAUAAAUGCAUAGUUAGGUAGCUACAUUAGUUAAGAAUAAUCGCUGAACAAAUCUAAGUGAGAAGUCUACUUUUAAUCAAGUUCUUAUUUAAAAAAAUAAUAGACUAUUAUUUUAAUUAGGCUUAGUAUGAUAAAUAGUAAUAUUUUAUGUAUAUAAGUGCUAAUAUUUUUAAAUAUUUUAAA